UACGUAGGGUGCGAGCGUUGUCCGGAAUUAUUGGGCGUAAAGGGCUCGUAGGCGGUCUGUCGCGUCGGGAGUGAAAACUCAGGGCUUAACCCUGAGCCUGCUUCCGAUACGGGCAGACUAGAGGUAUGCAGGGGAGAACGGAAUUCCUGGUGUAGCAGUGAAAUGCGUAGAUAUCGAGAGGAACACCAGUGGCGAAGGCGAGUCUCUGGACGACUCCUGACACUGAGGCACGAAAGCUAGGGGAGCAAACAGG
rnacentral:rRNA from 1 species